AACGAACGCUGGCGGCAGGCCUAACACAUGCAAGUCGAGCGAGGACUUCGGUCCUAGCGGCGGACGGGUGAGUAACGCGUGGGAACGUGCCCUUUGCUACGGAAUAGCCCCGGGAAACUGGGAGUAAUACCGUAUGUGCCCGAGAGGGGAAAGGUUUAUCGGCAAAGGAUCGGCCCGCGUUGGAUUAGGUAGGUGGUGGGGUAAUGGCCUACCAAGCCGACGAUCCAUAGCUGGUUUGAGAGGAUGAUCAGCCACACGGGGACUGCGACACGGCCCAGACUCCUACUGGAGGCAGCAGUGGGGAAUCUUAGACGAUGGGGGAAACCCUGAUCUAGCCAUGCCGCGUGAGCGAUGAAGGCCUUAGGGUUGUAAAGCUCUUUCAGUGGGGAAGAUAAUGACGGUACCCACAGAAGAAGCACCGGCUAACUACGUGCCAGCCGCCGCCGUAAGAC
rnacentral:rRNA from 1 species